rnacentral:rRNA from 1 species
UACAGAGGCCUCGAGCGUUAGGCGGAAUCACUGGGCUUAAAGCGUGUGUAGGCGGAUGCCUAAGUACCUUGUGAAAUCCCACGGCCCACCCGUGGAACGGCUGGGUAUACUGGGUGUCUUGAGCCACUUAGGGGCUGCCGGAACAAAUGGUGGAGCGGUGAAAUGCGUAGAUAUCCGGAAGAACACCGGUGGCGAAGGCGGCCUGCUGGGCAGUUUAGCUGACACUGAGGCGCGACAGCGUGGGGAGCAAACAGG